rnacentral:rRNA from 1 species
GAUGAAUGCUGGCGGCGUGCCUAACACAUGCAAGUCGAGCGGUAACAGGUCUAGUUUACUAGAUGCUGACGAGCGGCGAACGGCUGAGUAACGCGUGAGAAUCUGCCCUAAAGUGAGGAAUAACUAUUCGAAAGGAUAGCUAAUGCCGCAUGUGCUCUACGGAGUAAAGCUUUAUGCGCUUUAGGAAGAGCUUGCGUCGGAUUAGGUAGUUGGUAAGGUAAAGGCUUACCAAGCCUACGAUCCGUAGCUGGUCUGAGAGGAUGAUCAGCCAGACUGGAACUGAGACACGGUCCAGACUCCUACGGGAGGCAGCAGUGAGGAAUAUUCCACAAUGGGCGGAAAGACCUGAUGGAGGCAACGCCGCGUGCAGGAUGAAGG